ensembl:lncRNA
AAAAUUAUUGAUUGUGAUUCUCUUGAAAAUUAUUUGUUCAUAUCCUUAAACCACAUUUAUUUGGAAUAUCUGCAAUUCAUUAUCUUAAAAAAAUAGAGCAAGAUAUGGAAGAGUUUAAGCACAGAAUCUAAGAACGAGAGACAGAGCAUCAGAGAUCAUGUAAGUCUACUUACAUAUGGCCAAGAAUUCCUUGUGUUGUAUUCUCAAAAACUGCCAUAAGAAUAGCCUUUCUCGUAUCAACUCUGCUGGUAUCAUUCUGGAUUAGAGUUAUAUUUGGCUUGAUUUCUCCAUCAGUUUUAGCAUAACUCAUGAUUAAUGUGAAUAUGACAGCUAGUCUGAAAGCCCAAUUCUGGAAAGACUUUUCUGAAAAUAUAAUCAGAGACAGAGACAUUACCAUCUUUAUGGAUUUUAAUGGUGCAUGGGGACUCUAGGGAGAAGGAAAAAAGCAGGGGCCUUCAAAUCAAAGUUUCUGCCUGAAAUUCUAAAUCUUGGUGUUGGUGGAUAUCUAGAGAGCCCUUUUGCAUGAGCAACAGAGGAAUGUCUGGACUAGAUCAUAAAAAGGAGAAUUUUUCAGGUAGUUGGGCAUAUAUUUAUGGUACAACCCUCCUUCCCUUGUCUACUUGUCCCCAACAUGAAUCUUUUUUUAUUUGUUUGUUUUUUUUUGUUUAAAUUAUGCAUUCCCAUAGUCAGGUAAACUCAGUACCCUCAAGGAAAAUGAUUUCUCUGCACUGUCUUCCCUCUCCCAACUGCACUCUGUCCUAACUCUGUCAUUUCCCUUCCAUCAUGACCUGCUCUCUCUUUCCAGAAGGCCCAAUUUGAUCCUGAUUGGAGGUACCUGGCUAUGAGAUUGUGAAGUCAGAAGUUCCAAGGCAGAAGUGUGUAUUAAGGUGGGGGAAGGAAUAACAAAGAAAGUUCUGAAGCAGUUAGAAAGUUUUUCGGGUAUCUAAGAUAAUGUCUCACCCACAGGAUCCCUCAAAGACAAUGGACGUUGUGAAAGAAAAACCAGUGUUAAAACAGUGCCAUCGGACUCGGCCUGUGAUGUUAAGAAACUGGUCCAAAUGUACCCGUCGAGCCUGCCAUAACGCCUUUCAGUGGUUAAUCAUGCCCCUCUGCACUGUAUUCAGCACUUUUGCCUUCCUGGUAUUGAUUGUAUGUUGUUCUGCUACAAACAAAUGGGCAACAUUGAAAUCGAAGGACCAAACAUGGGAGCAGCACAUUGGCAUUUGGCACGACUGCUUAAGCACAAACUGCUGGACAGAUAUUCUUUUUUGGCCUCUUAUCCAGACUGCCCAGGGUUUCGUGAUCACAGCUGUCCUUUGUAGUUUCCUGUUAACCACGUGGUUGUUUGGUUUUUUCUGUACCUCUCCUUCACUGAAGAUGCAAUGCCAUCUUAUCUUCAUUAUCCUUUCCUCCUUGACAGGCAUUAGUCUCUUCAUUGCCAUAUUGCUGAUUGUGUUCAUUUUGGAAAAAACAACUGCGGUGCAAAACACUUACUACGUAGUCCUGUGGCCUUUUUAUUUGCUGUGGUUAGCACUAAUACUGUGCCUGAUUUCCUGUAUCCUGGGAAUCAUUUCUUAUAAGGGCCUAGGCCAGAAAAGAAGGAGAGCUACAACUAUAAAAGAAGAAAAAAUGCCUAAUGAACAAAUGUACUCAAAAGCAAGCAUAUUGUUAGCAAAAUCACUUAUUUCAAAAUCUAUAUCUCAAGGCAGAAACCCCAACUUAUCACAACUGUCCAUAUCUACCUUAGGGGAUAAUUGGACAUCCCAUAAGGGAAUUUAUGAUGCAUUUAAAGAUCUGUAAAUAUGUGAGAUCAAGUCCACUGAUGAGCAUUCUGUUCUUCCCAUAAAAAUGUGUAAAAUGUCUGUAUGUAAUUCUAUCAUGUAUGCCUAUCAAGUAACAACCUUGUUGAAAUGAGGGUUCAAGCCUAGAUUAUGUGAGCCAUUAGUCCUAUGGGACAAAUACAGUUUUUUCUCAAAAAUGUGUUUUGAAAUAAAAUCAGUUGACUACUCUCUCGGCAUCUAUUUUUAACUUACUGAUUCAUUGUUAAUGAGUUUUAUUAUUAUUCAAAGAACCAUCAGUGGAACCUCAACAGAAUUCCAGCACCCACAGAACUCAAAUAGAAAAUAACAGGACAGCACUUUGAAUGGUAAUUAAUCAAAUCAAGUAUCCCACCUCUGACACCAGGUGACUAUAGUUUUCUCAUCUGUAAAAUGGGA